rnacentral:rRNA from 1 species
AGCGCCUACGGGACGCAGCAGUGAGGAAUAUUGGUCAAUGGGCGAGAGCCUGAGCCAGCCAAGUCGCGUGAGGGAGUACUGCCCUAUGGGUUGUAAACCUCUUUUGUCGGGGAGCAAAAGCCGGACGUGUCCGUCUGUGAGAGUACCCGAAGAAAAAGCAUCGGCUAACUCCGUGCCAGCAGCCGCGGUAAUACGGAGGAUGCGAGCGUUAUCCGGAUUUAUUGGGUUUAAAGGGUGCGCAGGCGGAUUUUUAAGCCAGCGGUCAAAUCGUGGGGCUCAACCCCAUCCGGCCGUUGAAACUGGGG